rnacentral:lncRNA from 1 species
UAUAGAAAAAAAUCGAAAUCUUUAAAGAAUUUCUAAUUAAAGAAGAAAUAAGAUAAGUAAUUAAUUUAGAAUUCUCCGUCUUUAGAGAAAAUCAUGGAUGAAAAUAAGAGAAAAAAGAGAAUUUGUAUAAGAGUAAUAUAUAGUUAGAAGGUUCUACUAACUAAAUAAAAUGGAAAUAAGUAUAAUGGAAAUAAAAUCGGAUUCCAGUCG